GCAUUUGCUAGGUGGAAUUUAGAGACGCUGUGCACUAGAGAUCAGCAGCAUCUUUGAGACCGUUCUCAGAGGUCCUGGCAAGCAAACUUUAUUCCAGUGCUUCGAAAGAUCCUUGUGAAGUGUCUCGUUGCAAGAAGAGGCAGAGAAGAUCUUGUGGUUGCUAGAAGUGGUUGCUUUUGUGCUGACAGAAGUGCUGCUCGCAGCCUGCUCGCUGCGCGCUUCGAUUCCCGCAGCUCGCUGUGCUGGGAAUUGCAGCUCCCGCAGUCUCCUGAGAACAUUUUUUCUGAGUGACUCCUGCUUCCAGACACAUUUGCCAUGAGAAGGGUUCCAAUCCUUUCCUGUAUUUGCCCUGAGUCAUGAAUGGAUAUGUGUGAUGCCUGCAAGUAAAACUGGUGAGUUGUCAAGCCUGAGUUUGCAAUAACUCUCACUUAUCCUUUCUUACUAAUUAUCUUCCCCUCAUU
rnacentral:lncRNA from 1 species